UCCAGGAGCCGGGCCUCGGCCUGCAGACCCCCACCCUCCCGAGGCCCCCCGCGGCUCCCUCGCGUCCCUUGGGGGGGCCACCGCCACGCCAGCAAGGCCUGGGAGGGGAAUCCCGGGAACACGGAAUACAAUGUGCCCAACUCCCGGCCUCUUUCACAUCGACCGAACGAAACAGCAAAAUGAGCCGUGAUUCUGUUGAUCAAUUACAAUCAGAGCGGUUGUAGAAGUGACACAUACAGGCGAGGAUGGGCAGAUGGGCGGGGAGAGAGAAAGAGCCCAAGAGGCGGAGCCUCGUGGGCAAGGCAGCGGCGGUGCCCAGAUGUCUGAACAGAUUAAUACAGCCAGGUUUGCUCCCUCCUUGGGGGCAGGCGAGCACGUGUGCUGCCAGUGUACCUUUACCUACUUAAUUAUUUCUGCCACCCUAGCGGGGAGCUAUGAAGCACUUCUCUCCGACACCCGCUGUCACAGUUAAUAUCCAAAGCACCUCCUGCAGGCACGACCCUCUAGAUGGGGCUGGUGAGCCCAUUCUGGGAGGGCCUACCACUGGGAAACCCGGUCUAGAUAGCAGCCCUUAGCCUGCCUCAUUCCCUGUCUCCAGGUUCCCUAACUGACCCUAUCGUCUACCUACGUAGCUUUAAGUAAGGGGCUCUGUCAGCUGCAAAUCUUCAAUCCAGACCUUUCUUCUGACCCAGACGCCAGCCAACUUGCCCUCUCCACUUGAAACCGAAACCUCAUAUAUCGGGCCUGCUCCUCACACAGCCUUCCCCCAACUCGGCUGACCCUUCUAGCUGCUCAUAAAAAGUUACUUCCUAAAUAUUUGGUCUUCAAAGUACGCCCAUAUCCCACUUUCUAACUUUGGAACCCGGUCCUGGAUGUUCUUCUGCAAGUGCUUUGUACAUAUGGACACUCAAUGUCUACUAUGUAUAGCUUACUCUGGACAAGAUUCUACUCUUUGGAAACAAGAUUCUAUUCCUUUGGAAACAAGAGUGCAGCAAAUAAGUUAAUUGCAGUGUAUUUAUGUAACUGAGAAAACCCAAAAAUAAUCUAAAUAACAAAA